UUUAGACCCUGAAUGUUCCACAUGCUGACUGAUAGGUUGAUGAGUUUAGGCCCUGAAUGUUCCACAUGCUGACUGAUAGGUUGAUGAGUUUAGGCCCUGAAUGUUCCACAUGCUGACUGAUAGGUUGAUGAGUUUAGGCCCUGAAUGUUCCACAUGCUGACUGAUAGGUUGAUGAGUUUAGACCCUGAAUGUUCCACAUGCUGACUGAUAGGUUGAUGAGUUUAGGCCCUGAAUGUUCCACAUGCUGACUGAUAGGUUGAUGAGUUUAGGCCCUGAAUGUUCCACAUGCUGACUGAUAGGUUGAUGAGUUUAGACCCUGAAUGUUCCACAUGCUGACUGAUAGGUUGAUGAGUUUAGGCCCUGAAUGUUCCACAUGCUGACUGAUAGGUUGAUGAGUUUAGGCCCUGAAUGUUCCACAUGCUGACUGAUAGGUUGAUGAGUUUAGGCCCUGAAUGUUCCACAUGCUGACUGAUAGGUUGAUGAGUUUAGACCCUGAAUGUUCCACAUGCUGACUGAUAGGUUGAUGAGUUUAGGCCCUGAAUGUUCCACAUGCUGACUGAUAGGUUGAUGAGUUUAGGCCCUGAAUGUUCCA